rnacentral:tRNA from 1 species
GACCCCAUCGUCUAACGGUUAGGACAUCGCCCUUUCACGGCGGUAACGGGGGUUCGAAUCCCCCUGGGGUCGCCA